rnacentral:lncRNA from 1 species
GGUGCUUAAAAGUUUCUAUAAUAUGUGAGGGUAGUAAUGGGGAUACCUUCAUGACGUAUAAUGGUAAAAAUUCUUGCCAAAUGACGUUUAAUAACAGUAAUUUUUAGUGCAUGACGAUAAAAUGUUCUUUCUUUUAAAGAAUCAAAAAAGAAAAAUCAGCUGAAUUUGAUGAAUCACGCUUUUUUUUCUUCUAAAAAAUAACAGUAAUG